CGGCAGCACGGGGGUAACCCUGGUGGCGAGUGGCGAACGGGUGAGUAAUACAUCGGAACGUGUCCUGUAGUGGGGGAUAGCCCGGCGAAAGCCGGAUUAAUACCGCAUACGAUCUACGGAAGAAAGCGGGGGAUCGAAAGACCUCGCGCUAUAGGGGCGGCCGAUGGCAGAUUAGCUAGUUGGUGGGGUAAAGGCCUACCAAGGCGACGAUCUGUAGCUGGUCUGAGAGGACGACCAGCCACACUGGGACUGAGACACGGCCCAGACUCCUACGGGAGGCAGCAGUGGGGAAUUUUGGACAAUGGGGGAAACCCUGAUCCAGCAAUGCCGCGUGUGUGAAGAAGGCCUUCGGGUUGUAAAGCACUUUUGUCCGGAAAGAAAACUUCUGCCCUAAUACGGUGGGAGGAUGACGGUACCGGAAGAAUAAGCACCGGCUAACUACGUGCCAGCAGCCGCGGUAAUACGUAGGGUGCCAGCGUUAAUCGGAAUUACUGGGCGUAAAGCGUGCGCAGGCGGUUCGUUAAGACAGAUGUGAAAUCCCCGGGCUUAACCUGGGAACUGCAUUUGUGACUGGCGAGCUAGAGUAUGGCAGAGGGGGGUAGAAUUCCACGUGUAGCAGUG
rnacentral:rRNA from 1 species